rnacentral:siRNA from 1 species
AAUUGUGCGAAUCAACGGUUC